UGAUGAUGAUGAUGAUGAUGAUGAUGAUGAUGAUGAUGAUGAUGAUGAUGAUGAUGAUGAUGAUGAUGAUGAUGAUGAUGAUGAUGAUGUCAUGAUGAUGAUGAUGAUGAUGAUGAUGAUGAUGAUGAUGAUGAUGAUGAUGGUGAUGAUGGUGAUGAUGAUGAUGAUGAUGAUGAUGAUGAUGAUGGUGAUGAUGAUGUCAUGAUGAUGAUGAUGAUGAUGAUGAUGAUGAUGAUGAUGAUGAUGAUGAUGAUGAUGAUGAUGAUGAUGAUGAUGAUGAUGAUGGUGACGAUGAUGGCGAAAACAGCACGGAUAUCUUCGCU